GAUUCCGGAGAGGGAGCCUGAGAAACGGCUACCACAUCUAAGGAAGGCAGCAGGCGCGCAAAUUACCCAAUCCUAAUAUAGGGAGGUAGUGACAAGAAAUAACAAUACAGAACCUCACGGUUUUGUAAUUGGAAUGAGUUAAGUAUAAACCCCUUAACGAGUAUCAAUUGGAGGGCAAGUCUGGUGCCAGCAGCCGCGGUAAUUCCAGCUCCAAUAGCGUAUAUUAAAGUUGUUGCAGUUAAAAAGCUCGUAGUUGAUUUUCUGUUAAUUUUUAUGUAUAAUAUUGCGAUAUUUACAUAAUAUUAACAUAAUUCACAUUACUUUACAGUAUGUGGAACUUUACUUUGAGAAAAUUAGAGUGCUUAAAGCAGGCUAUUGCCUUGAAUACUCCAGCAUGGAAUAAUAUUAAGGAUUUUUAUUCUUCUUAUUGGUUCUAGAAUAAAAAUAAUGAU
rnacentral:rRNA from 1 species